GCUUGGUCUGGUGCUUUUGUCGUUGUUAUUGGCGCUAAAGGUCUCCUUUAUCGUCAUGUAAGGAGCUUUAUCUAAACGCACUUGGUCUGGACUAUUAUUGUCACUUUAGAUGCAGUUAGGUUUAGGGAAAGAUUGUGGGUGGGUUUAUAAAAGGUGUGGUUAUGUGACACAAGGACAAGAACGGGGCAGUUGGGUUAA